AAUGACAAUAAAUAUGUUAAAUGUAUUUGGAAAUGCAGACUUUGAUUGCCAUGGAGACUUAAAAACAGAUCAACUGAAAAUGGAUAUUCUGAUUAAGAAGCUAAAACAGGGAACGAGCACAAUAUGAAAAACAAUUAGAGCAGUUAAACAAGGAUAAUAUGGCUUCACUAAGUAAGAAGGAACUCACACUUAAAGAUGUGGAAUGUAAAUUCUCAGAAAUGAAAACUGCUUAUGAAGAGGUUACAACCGAAUUAGAAGAAUAUAAUAAGGAAGCCUUUGCAGCAGCAUUGAAAGAUAACAAUUCCAUGUCAAAAAAAUUACAGAUCGAAUAAGAAAAUAGCAACGAUCAGCAUGGAGCUCCUUAUGGAGAAAGAGCGGAUGAAAUAUUUUCUCAGCACUCUUCCUACAAGGCGAGACCCAGAGUCACCUUGUGUUGAAAAUCUUACUAGUAUAGGACUCAACAGAAAAUAUAUUCUCCAAACACCCAUAAGAAUUCCUAUUUCAAGCCCACAGACUUCAAAUAACUUCAAGAAC
rnacentral:lncRNA from 1 species